GAUGAACGCUAGCUACAGGCUUAACACAUGCAAGUCGAGGGGCAGCAUUUCAGUUUGCUUGCAAACUGGAGAUGGCGACCGGCGCACGGGUGAGUAACACGUAUCCAACCUGCCGAUAACUCGGGGAUAGCCUUUCGAAAGAAAGAUUAAUACCCGAUGGUAUAAUCAGACCGCAUGGUCUUGUUAUUAAAGAGUUUCGGUUAUCGAUGGGGAUGCGUUCCAUUAGGCAGUUGGUGAGGUAACGGCUCACCAAACCUUCGAUGGAUAGGGGUUCUGAGAGGAAGGUCCCCCACAUUGGAACUGAGACACGGUCCAAACUCCUACGGGAGGCAGCAGUGAGGAAUAUUGGUCAAUGGGCGCAGGCCUGAACCAGCCAAGUAGCGUGAAGGAUGACUGCCCUAUGGGUUGUAAACUUCUUUUAUAUGGGAAUAAAGUUUUCCACGUGUGGAAUUUUGUAUGUACCAUAUGAAUAAGGAUCGGCUAACUCCGUGCCAGCAGCCGCGGUAAUACGGAGGAUCCGAGCGUUAUCCGGAUUUAUUGGGUUUAAAGGGAGCGUAGGUGGACAGUUAAGUCAGUUGUGAAAGUUUGCGGCUCAACCGUAAAAUUGCAGUUGAUACUGGCUGUCUUGAGUACAGUAGAGGUGGGCGGAAUUCGUGGUGUAGCGGUGAAAUGCUUAGAUAUCACGAAGAACUCCGAUUGCGAAGGCAGCUCACUGGACUGCAACUGACACUGAUGCUCGAAAGUGUGGGUAUCAAACAGGAUUAGAUACCCUGGUAGUCCACACAGUAAACGAUGAAUACUCGCUGUUUGCGAUAUACAGUAAGCGGCCAAGCGAAAGCAUUAAGUAUUCCACCUGGGGAGUACGCCGGCAACGGUGAAACUCAAAGGAAUUGACGGGGGCCCGCACAAGCGGAGGAACAUGUGGUUUAAUUCGAUGAUACGCGAGGAACCUUACCCGGGCUUAAAUUGCAUUUGAAUAUAUUGGAAACAGUAUAGCCGUAAGGCAAAUGUGAAGGUGCUGCAUGGUUGUCGUCAGCUCGUGCCGUGAGGUGUCGGCUUAAGUGCCAUAACGAGCGCAACCCUUAUCUUUAGUUACUAACAGGUCAUGCUGAGGACUCUAGAGAGACUGCCGUCGUAAGAUGUGAGGAAGGUGGGGAUGACGUCAAAUCAGCACGGCCCUUACGUCCGGGGCUACACACGUGUUACAAUGGGGGGUACAGAAGGCAGCUACCUGGUGACAGGAUGCUAAUCCCAAAAGCCUCUCUCAGUUCGGAUCGAAGUCUGCAACCCGACUUCGUGAAGCUGGAUUCGCUAGUAAUCGCGCAUCAGCCAUGGCGCGGUGAAUACGUUCCCGGGCCUUGUACACACCGCCCGUCAAGCCAUGAAAGCCGGGGGUACCUGAAGUACGUAACCGCAAGGAGCGUCCUAGGGUAA
rnacentral:rRNA from 1 species